rnacentral:tRNA from 1 species
GGUCUCGUAGUGCAGUUGGCUAGAGCGUUGGCUGAACUACAGCCUUCCCCGUGCUGGCGUGGGUUCGAAUCCCACCGAGGCCG